GAGUGCAGAAGAGGACAGUGGAACUCCAUGUGUAGCGGUGGAAUGCGUAGAUAUAUGGAAGAACACCAGUGGCGAAGGCGGCUGUCUAGUCUGUAACUGACGCUGAGGCUCGAAAGCAUGGGUAGCGAACAGGAUUAGAUACCCUGGUAGUCCAUGCCGUAAACGAUGAGUGCUAAGUGUUGGAGGGUUUCCCCCUUCAGUGCUGCAGCUAACGCAUUAAGCACUCCGCCUGGGGAGUACGACCGCAAGGUUGAAACUCAAAGGAAUUGACGGGGGCCCGCACAAGCGGUGGAGCAUGUGGUUUAAUUCGAAGCUACGCGAAGAACCUUACCAGGUCUUGACAUCUUCUGCCAAUCUUAGAGAUAAGACGUUCCCUUCGGGGACAGAAUGACAGGUGGUGCAUGGUUGUCGUCAGCUCGUGUCGUGAGAUGUUGGGUUAAGUCCCGCAACGAGCGCAACCCUUAUUAUCAGUUGCCAGCAUUCAGUUGGGCACUCUGGUGAGACUGCCGGUGACAAACCGGAGGAAGGUGGGGAUGACGUCAAAUCAUCAUGCCCCUUAUGACCUGGGCUACACACGUGCUACAAUGGACGGUACAACGAGUCGCGAAGUCGUGAGGCUAAGCUAAUCUCUUAAAGCCGUUCUCAGUUCGGAUUGUAGGCUGCAACUCGCCUACAUGAAGUUGGAAUCGCUAGUAAUCGCGGAUCAGCAUGCCGCGGUGAAUACGUUCCCGGGCCUUGUACACACCGCCCGUCACACCAUGAGAGUUUGUAACACCCAAAGCCGGUGAGAUAACCUUCGGGAGUCAGCCGUCUAAGGUGGGACAGAUGAUUAGGGUGAAGUCGUAACAAGGUAACCAAGGGCGAA
rnacentral:rRNA from 1 species